CAUACCGAUGGAGAGUCAGUGGCAGCUCUCACUCGCCUCCCACGACAAGUAAUCAAAAUUUAGCAGUUGCUGGUGGUGUAUAACGCCGUUAGACCUCUCAUUGGUGCCAUAAUAAGGAGACCAUCCAGACGAAGACCACCAAUACGAAGAGGCCCACGACGACGAGGAUAACGAAGACUGCUGUUCCACACUUUGAACUACAUAUUUGUUGGUACCUCAUAGUUAGACUCUUCGAUUUACUGGAUCACACUUUAAAGAUGUUCUUGUUGACCUCCUUAUACACCAUGUAAUACACAUUUUAUGAAAUUAUAUACAUGUAAUUAGUAUGGAGGAUAAUACCAUAACAACAAAUUCUGACCCACCUUAAAACUAUACGGAACAUGCUAAAUAAAACUGUUGUUGAGCUAGAAUGAUGGUGGUUAGUAACUAAAGAAUACUACCUUAAAUGCUCCUAAUCUCUUAGGAAUAACUCUUUACUGCCUUAUGAGGGAAAUGCUUUUAUACUGUUGGGAUACCCUUAUACUGCUGAAAAUGGCAUUGUACAGCUAUACACGAGCGGGUACCUUGAAGUGCUUGUCUGAUUUUUUUCCUUUCCCUGACGUUCGUGUUUUAUCUCGUUCAUACCAUGGAAAAGCCUCAUUCGACUGACAUGUGGGGUGACCCAGGAUAAAUGAUGUAGAACCCAUUCCAUGAAUCCUAAAAUGGGUCUGGUAAUUUAAAACAAUGUUUGCUACUUGGCUUCAAACGUUCAUACAACUGAUAUAAAAUUUCGCCUACGGAGGAGUGAUAAAGUGUGUAGGUGCACAUUUACCAGGUUUGUUUAUUUUAGUAUAGUUUUUGAAAAGCUUCAAUAAUUAAUGUUUAAUGUUGUUUGUGGACAGGAUAAUGUUCAUUAUGUUCAGUUUGGCCUCAACACCGCUUUAAAAAAAUUAUGUAUUCAAAGCUUAAAUAAAAAUUAUUUAUUUACCUCUUA